GGACCCGCACAAGUAGUGGAGCAUGUGGUUUAAUUCGAAGAUACGCGCAGAACCUUACCAACACUUGACAUGUUCGUCGCGACUCUAAGAGAUUAGAGUUUUCGGUUCGGCCGGACGAAACACAGGUGCUGCAUGGCUGUCGUCAGCUCGUGUCGUGAGAUGUUCGGUUAAGUCCGGUAACGAGCGCAACCCCUAUCCUUAGUUGCCAAUUAUGGAACUCUAAGGAGACUGCCGGUGUCAAACCGGAGGAAGGUGGGGACGACGUCAAGUCCUCAUGGCCCUUACGACUGGGGCUACACACGUACUACAAUGGCGACUACAGAGGGACGCAAGACUGUGAAGUGGAGCAAAUCCCCAAAAGUCGCCUCAGUUCAGAUUGUAGUCUGCAACUCGACUACAUGAAGUUGGAAUCGCUAGUAAUCGC
rnacentral:rRNA from 1 species